rnacentral:lncRNA from 14 species
ACUUUAAAGAAAUUACAGAUUUGUGCUUACAGAGGUCACUCUUCUGGCAUUCCCCACUCAGCCUGCUGUGGUGCUAUCAUGUGUUUCCCUGCCUGUCCCAGAAAGAUGCCAGGAUCCUGUGCUGGUCGCUUUCCUGCUGGUGGCUGCUGAUGCUCUCACACCAUUAUGAAGAGCCAUUUCUUGUCUUCAACAGGAAAGCUGUUAUGGUUUUGGGUUAUACUACAAGCCCUUUGGCCACGAAGAGGCAGACAGUUCCAGAUGGUACUGAAGUACUGAAGACACUUCUGCUUCAAAACCUGUUGGAAAUCUGGGCCUUGACCUUCCCAACUGCAAGGGGUUGA